AGGUCCAAAGCUCACUAGUAAAGCAUUUGACUACGGAUCAAGAGGUCAUUGGUUUGAACUCGAUUGGGCCCU